GCCAGUGUGGUGUAGUGGUUUGAGCAUUGGACUAGGACUCAGGAGAUCAGGGUUUGAAUCCCUACUCAGCCA
rnacentral:tRNA from 1 species